UACAAUAAAACAAGGCUCCCGAAGUGCCAGAGUACCAAGAAAAAAUAUUUCCUCUCUUUUCUUUCUACAAUCCCCGCCCAAUUCAGUCUCCAAACCCUAAUUUCAAUUCGUUCGUCUCAGUUCGAUUCUUUGGUAAAACUCAAUUUUAUGAGCUCAAAAUCUUUUCAAGAUGGACGAUUCAUGGAGGUAUCAACCAAUUCAAGGUAAUAAUAUCUGUCCUAGUUGUUCAACUCCUCAUUAUCCAUUCUGCUCUCAUAAUCAACCACCACUCCCUUUAGAUCGUAAUGGUUAUGGACCUCCAAUUCAUCACCACCACCACCACCACCACCAUCAAAGACCUUAUUUUGAUCCUUACCGUGAUAGUAAUAGUCGUGUUAGGCCACCGCCCCCAAGUUAUGGCAAUCUAAAUGAUGUUUCUUGGAAUAGUAGUAAUCAUGUAAGAAAGUACCCAGAACCGGUAAUAGGGGUGAAUGGGUUUACGUCGAGUUAUGAUUACGGUAAUAGUGGAGAAUUUUUUGAGAGUGAGAGAAUGAAUAAGAGGAUUAAGGUUGAUAACAAUAUGAAUCCGGGUUAGAUUGGACCAGCGCCAGCGCCACCGCCACCGCCACCGCCACCGGUUGUUGGUGAUUAUAAUUUGAAUGCUAAUGGAGCUUAUAAGGAUGAUGAGCGUAGGUUGGGUUUAGUUAGGCAACAUGGGGGAAAUAGUAGCGUUCAUCCUGGGGGAUUAGGUGGAGGUGAAGCAAGGGGAAGUGAUUGGAUUCCGAGGCCACCAAGUAACAAUGGAGCAACUAAUUUUCAUGAUACGGGGUUUGGUUCUGUUGAUCAGCAACGUAUGGGUAGUGAAACAAAUGGGUUUCAUCCUGGGUUUACAUCUGUUGAUCAUUGGAGUGACAACCAUUUGAAGCCACCUUCCGCUCAGAGCUAUGAAGCUAGUGUUUUCCAAACAGGUGCUCCUAACUAUAAUCCUUCCACGCAGCAAGGUCAGGAUUUUGCAGUUGUACAUGAAGAAAAAGGAUUUCAGCAUAUGAAUCAGAGGGAGGUGUAUUAUCAGAACAAACAGCAUGGAGACAUAAUUCAGCAGCCAAAUGUUUCCUACGGUGCAUCUUAUCCAGGCACUCAAGCUUCUCAAGGGGAAUUUCGUGCCAACAGUUACCAACCCCUCCAGUCAAAAGAUACUGAACCGACAAAAGGCCUUCGAUCUAAUUUAACGAGUUGGCAGAUGUCUCCGGCAUCAUAUUUGCCGAAUCAAGAUCUCCAUUACCAUGGACAUACACGUGAUUUACGACAUUCGGUUGAAGUUAAACCUUCGCAGUUGGAGGGAAUUCAGAAACCUCAUAAUUUCCCUCUUGCAGAUAAAUUUGGUGCCUCAAAUAGCUGGGAGCAUGCACCUCAGACAUUUGGUGUUCAGCCUCCUCUACCUCCUGGACCACCCCCACCUCUACCAGUGGACCCACCAGGUCCACCUCUAUUACACAUGCAAGCUACAACUUCAGCAAACAUGACGCCCUCCCUGUAUCCAAUUCCAGUAGGUUCUUUUGAUGCUCCACAUUCAUUGCUGUCACCAGCUUAUAAAACCCAGUCUUUUCCAUUGAAGCAUCCAUCACCAGACAAACCAAAGCACAUUGAUGCCUCUCUCUUACUUCGACAGCCUCAUCGAGCUACUCGUCCUGAUCAUAUUGUUAUUAUUCUUCGGGGGCUUCCAGGUAGUGGAAAAAGCUAUUUGGCAAAGAUGUUACGUGAUCUAGAAGUUGAAAAUGGUGGUCGCGCUCCACGAAUACAUUCUAUGGAUGAUUAUUUCAUGAAUGAAGUUGAAAAGGUUGACGAACGCGACGAAUCUAAAACUGCUAAAGGCAGAAGAAAAACAGAUACAAGGAAGGUGAUGGAAUAUUGUUAUGAACCUGAAAUGGAAGAGGCUUACCGGGCAAGCAUGUUGAAAGCAUUUAGGAAGACCCUGGAGGACGGUAGCUUCACCUUUAUUAUUGUGGAUGACCGCAAUCUGCGGGUAGCCGAUUUUGCUCAAUUUUUGGCAACUGCUAAGAGGACGGGUUAUGAAGUUUACCUGCUGGAAGCUGCGUAUAAGGAUCCCAUGGGCUGCGCUGCUCGGAACGUGCAUGGUUUCACUUCAGAUCACAUUCAGAAAAUGGCAACAUUGUGGGAGGAAGCUCCACCUUUAUACUUGCAACUAGAUACCAAGUCACUUAUCCGCGGAGAUGGUCCAAACGAGAGUGAGAUCCAAGAGGUGGACAUGGAUAUGGAAGAAGAUGUGGCAUGUGAUGAAGGCUCAGCUAAGUUGCAGGAUCCAGGUUCUUUGAGGACAAUGGAACCAUUGAUAAAAGAUGAUGCAACUGAUGGUUCGCUCAAUGAUGGAGAUAGAUGGCACGAUGAAGGCAAUGAUGAUUCAACAGGUGUAAAAGAACUAGGUAGGAGUAAAUGGUCUCUUGAUGAGGAUGAAUAUACUGAAAGACCUAGGGGACCUAAAGGGAAGUUGAAUGCUCCCUCUGGGUUACUUAAACCAUAUAGCAUGAAAAAGAAAUCUGUGCAUUGGGGUGACCAGGUAAUAAAUAAAUGCAUGGCAACAUUUUUAUGUAUAUUAAAGGUCUUUAUGUGUAAAAUGCUGGAUCAUAUUCUGGUUACAAAGGUUACUGAACUUCUAGAUUGCAACAUCUCUAGGCUUGCGUAACAUGUCUUGGCAUGACACAUCUCUGUUAGCAUAUCAAGUGCUUAUCUUUGUUUUACAAUUGCAAUGUCGAUUUGAGUUUGUUUGUUGUCUUCGUUUAUCUCAUUCUUUUUUUGGCUUUUCGGAACAGGGAAGCAUAACUGGUUUUUCCAUUGGGGCAGCAAAAAAAUCAAGCAUGAAAUCCUUAGUAAUUGGGCCUGGUGCUGGUUACAACUUGAAGGUCAAAUCCAGUAAGUGAAGAAGUGAAGAGUGGAAAUGAGUCUAGUUGGGGAACUAAAAGCAGUGUGUUCCAAGAGCAUAUACGUGCAGAGCGUGAAUCCUUCAGAGCUGUAUUUGAUAGAAGACGUCACAUAAUUCAGGGGAUUGAUGCUGAAGUUGAAUGACAACCAAAUUGAUUACGCCUGUGCUCAACCUAUGGCCCGUAGGCUUGAUAUUAUGCUUAGAUUGAUUUGUUUAUUUGUAUUGUACUAUUGUACACUUGGGUUUUUACACGCUAAGUUAUUCUGCAAAAUCCUUUUAGUUUUGUACAAAAAGAAAAUACAUUUGUUUGUAUACGAAGUUGGUAUUUAAUUGAUGAAAUCCUCUGAUGAUUAA